rnacentral:misc_RNA from 1 species
GUAGCACAAUAACCAUACACAAAUAAACAUUACUAGGAACAAGGUAAUUAUAUAGAUGAUUACAACAAUAUCAAUGACACUGACGGACCCAAAUUUACAUCUAUGUCAAACUACAGCCUGCAUCAUGAAGUUACAACUUCAACUACAAUCUUUGUUUCACGCGUCGACCAUUGAAAUCACCGCCGUCAAGGACAAGACCAUUCCCUAGCUUGUUGGUGAUGCUGCAAUGUUCAUUUACCCUAGCAACAUACUCCAACAGUUCUGUGAGGACAUGAGGACAACUUUCUCUCAGAUAGUCAAAACCAUCCGUUUGCAUUACAGCUCUUAGAUUUUCUGGCAUGGCAACAAAUUUGAGACAGACAGAUUUCAGCUGGAAACAAUGGUGCUGUUCAGCCAGGGCUAAAGUGGUUGCAACAGUAUUAAUAGCAACUUCCUCACACAGGUUAGCCUCACAGAGCAACCUGAGCCUAUCUAACCCAUAACAGUCAGCUGCCGCAAGCAGAUGUUGAGACAUCAAGGUUGAUGCCCAUUUUGUGUUCAACCCUGUGAGUUCUUCCAUGUCCGGUAGCACGUCCCAGUACAUGAAAUGAAGAAGAGCCUUAAAAACAGGGGCUUCCAUGUCUUCUACUUUUAUAUGCUCUGUA